GAAAGAUGGUUUCGGCUAUCGCUUACAGAUGGGCCCGCGGUGCAUUAGCUAGUUGGUAGGGUAAUGGCCUACCAAGGCAACGAUGCAUAGCCGACCUGAGAGGGUGAUCGGCCACACUGGGACUGAGACACGGCCCAGACUCCUACGGGAGGCAGCAGUAGGGAAUCUUCCGCAAUGGACGAAAGUCUGACGGAGCAACGCCGCGUGUAUGAAGAAGGUUUUCGGAUCGUAAAGUACUGUUGUUAGAGAAGAACAAGGAUAAGAGUAACUGCUUGUCCCUUGACGGUAUCUAACCAGAAAGCCACGGCUAACUACGUGCCAGCAGCCGCGGUAAUACGUAGGUGGCAAGCGUUGUCCGGAUUUAUUGGGCGUAAAGCGCGCGCAGGCGGUCUUUUAAGUCUGAUGUGAAAGCCCCCGGCUUAACCGGGGAGGGUCAUUGGAAACUGGAAGACUGGAGUGCAGAAGAGGAGAGUGGAAUUCCACGUGUAGCGGUGAAAUGCGUAGAUAUGUGGAGGAACACCAGUGGCGAAGGCGACUCUCUGGUCUGUAACUGAC
rnacentral:rRNA from 1 species